UAUAAUCCUCUUCUUCCCGGUCAAAGUUUUUAUCCGAAGGCAUUAGCACCUAAAGUAAAUAAACCGUUAGUAGAUUCAUUUUUAAGUGUAUCUUCUAACUAUAGAAAGAAGGUGUGUUGCGAUGAAAAUAAAAACCUUUCUCAAUUAUAAGGUUUUGUCAUUGCUAAAUGGAUUUUUUGAACACAUCAAAACUGCACAUCUCAUGACAUUUCAAAAUCAUCUGCUAACACCCUUUAAAUCGUGUUUAGUUCAAACUUACUGCUCUAUCUAAUGCACUUGGAAGUCCUGUUUUUUUAAAAUCGUUAAUACCCUUCUCUCUUGAUAACAUCUUAGUGACUCACCUCUAUGUCGUCCACGAAUCUAAACCAUUAUUAGACACUGAUAUUUUUGCAAAAAAGCCAGAAAAGGAAAUAGUUGUAGCACCUUAACCUUCUUAGCACAAAACAUUUAACGUACCUGUAGUGCAACCAUAACAAGUUUGCUAAUUUUCCGAAACUGAGCCGUAAGCGAAGGAUCAUUUUUGUACCCUUUUAUGAGUUAAUACAGCACAUGGGAAAGCCACAAUUGUAUAACUUAAAACAAGCGAACAUGCACAUACCUAAGCUUAGGCCCACAGUGCCAUAGCCUGAAAUCACCUCGAAUAAAAUAGCAAAAAGCGUAAAUUGCUAUUCCGUUAAUUAAUAAGUUAUUUGCUUAGCACUUUCAACGUACCGGUUCCGCUUCCGACUCUAAUCGACGACCUUCGACUAUAGUAAUUAUGAAGUAGCCUAGGAAUAAAUACCACAAAUCGUGACUCAGUUGCCUUUGUAUAUGGUCCAUCAAAAAAUUUUUCCUUUUCGGCGUAUUAUUAUCAUUAUUAUUAUUAUUAAUAUUAUUAUCAUCAUCAUUUUCGGUGUCUGCUGCAUAUAUUCCAAGA